GGGGCAGUUGCUCAGUGGAAGACAUUCUGCUUGGGAUGCGGAAGGCCCCAGGUUCAAUCCUUGGAAUCUCCA
rnacentral:tRNA from 1 species